UGGGGUAUGAGGGUGUGUUUGUGUGGGUGCCCGAGUGGUGCAGAAAGUGGGGUCUCCUGCUAGAUCUGCAGAGGGGCUGGGUCUGGCUCCUGAGGGCAGGGGCCCUCUGGCUGCCUUGGGCCCUGGGCACAGACCACAGCAUGGAGCAGGGAGAAGAGGUAGAUUGUGGCCGCUGUGUCCUGUGUCGCUUCCAGCCCAGGCCUGCAGGGCCCACUCCAGCAUGACUGUCUGUAGAGAACAGCAAGCAAGGGCCUCUCUCUUUCAGACACAGAAGCCCAAAGCAACUAACAUUCUGGGUUAGGUUUUUUCAUUUGGCGAAGGUGAUUCACAUCUGUCUCACCCCCUUCUGUGGUGGUCAAAGCUCUAACCCCCUCUACCUCCCAAAAUACAGUGGCAAAGCACUUUCACAAGAUGCAGAUAAAUGUGAUGAUACGAGAAAAAUUUAGGG
rnacentral:lncRNA from 1 species